AAUGCCUAGUAAGCAUGAUUCAUCAGAUUGUGCUGACUACGUCCCUGCCCUUUGUACACACCGCCCGUCGCUCCUACCGAUUGAAAGAUAUGAUGAAUUGUUUGGACAAGAAAAUAGAAAUUUUAUUUUUAUUUUUUUGGAAGGACCGUAAAUCCUAUCUUUUAAAGGAAGGAGAAGUCGUAACAAGGUUUCCGUAGGUGAACCUGCGGAAGGAUCAUUA
rnacentral:rRNA from 1 species